rnacentral:rRNA from 1 species
UAGAGUUUGAUCCUGGCUCAGAACGAACGCUGGCGGCGUGCCUAACACAUGCAAGUCGAACGAGAAAGGGGCUUCGGCCCUGAGUAAAGUGGCGCACGGGUGAGUAACACGUAGGUAACCUGCCUCUGAGAUUGGGAUAACUCGUCGAAAGAUGGGCUAAUACCAAAUAAGACCACGAAUUCUUUGGGAUCUGAGGUCAAAGGUAGCCUCUAUUAUAAGCUAUCACUUAGAGAUGGACCUGCGCACCAUUAGCUAGUUGGUAGGGUAACGGCCUACCAAGGCAAAGAUGGUUAGCUGGUCUGAGAGGAUGAUCAGCCACACUGGAACUGAGACACGGUCCAGACUCCUACGGGAGGCAGCAGUGGGGAAUAUUGCGCAAUGGGCGAAAGCCUGACGCANCACCCNGCGUGAGUGAUGAAGGCCUUUCGGUNGAAAAGCUCUGUCGGAAGGACNAAUUGCUUUGGGGNNAANCACCCCNAAAGCCAUGUACCUCANAGGAANCAGGGCUUAAUCUGCGCCAGCACCCGGGGAAUUGCCCGCCCUNCCCGAUGGGCGCGGGCUGCGGGGUAGACGGGGGGAGCGGCGGGGUAGCGGGGAGCUGAGACGGGACGAGAUGAGGUAAGAUGGCCACGGGCGGCAAGGCGGGUCGGGGGAGCAGUGGGCCGCCGGACGGAGAGGCCAAUAACAGCUGUAAUGAUAGAAGCGGUGGAGGGGUACCAACGCGACAGGGCGGCGGGCGAAUCCCCGGGGCGCGGGGAACGGUACGGGUGGUGAGGAUAGGAAGCGGACGGGACGGUCGGUGGACAGAGCAUUGACAGAAGAGG